UCGGGGGUCCCAGUUCCGAACC
rnacentral:snRNA from 1 species